rnacentral:tRNA from 1 species
UAGAAAACAGUAUGAUGGGGUACAUGGAGUUUUGGUCUCUAAUGUUUGGGUUCGAUUCCCAUUUUUCUAG